GAUGAGGAAUAGAAGGCUGUCGACCUCGUUGUCGGUGCCACCACCAACCCCGUCCCUCCUCGCCGAAGCAACCCCGAGGCCGCAUCGCAUCCGCCCGACCGCAGAGGCCCCGCUCCCCUCCCUAUGCAUUUCUAGAUCCCUCCCCUCCCCUAGCAGCGCAGCGCACCACCGGGGCCAGGUGACGGUGGUGCCCCGGCUCCUGCGGGCCACUGUCGCCCCGCAUUGGGGCUGCAAGGGCAGAGAUAUGAGGCGGAGUGGGGGGCUUCGGGAGGUUGGGAUGGGGCGCCAGAGUGGCCCGGGGAUCUGCGCAGUGGCACCGCUUUGCCUUGCCGCGGUCGCCAUGGGAGAUCUCGAUCCCGACAGCCUCGAGCGUGCAUUAGUCCUGAAUCCGUCCCUGUUUUUCUGUGCAAGUCUGCUUUCUCGGUCGGUCGACACUGUUGAUUGGGGAGACAUUUGGUUAUUUGCCACUUUUAAUACGGGGCUUCGCAAAAAUGCCACUGUCAAGAUUGAUUUCGUAAAAAUGCCAUCCAGCUCGUGUGCACUUCGAUUAACAUGCCAUUUUUAUUUUUCCCAUUGUUUUUAUUUUUUAUUUUUUAUUUUCUAACUCCUGAAAGGACCAAAGUGCCCUUGAAUCUUUGAACCUUAUUCGAUGGGUUUGCGGGCUGGUUGGAUGGAUUGCUGAGCCUACCUCAUCCUUGUUGAUCGUGCUUGCCCGAGCCACCUUAGCUCGAGCACGCCCAUGGAAGCAAACCACAGGUCACCGCCGUCUCUCGUCAACACCUGCGUGCACCAUCGCAGCUUGCCUUACCACAUCCAUGGAAGCAACCGCAGGUCGCCGUCAGUACGCGCCCAUGCCUGCUUGCGCCGGCGCAGCUCACCCACGCCUUGUUGAUGCAUGCGCGAGCAACUCAAGCUCGCCGGCGGUGCUUGUGCACGUCUGCACGUGCUGGCGCAGCCUCGCGGAUGCCUGCACGAGACACCGCAGCUCGCCGCCGGUGCUCACCCUCCCCUACAUGCGUUGGCUCAGCUCGUCUUGAGAGCCAAGACAUGCGAGGGCGUCGCAUAACAGCACCACCAGUGGCGUGAUGGUAGCACCAGCUAAAGGAGGAGGUGGAUGUGUGUGCAUGUUCUGAAGAUGGAUAUGCAAGGAACCUGUCGCCGGUGGACUAUCGGAGCAACACGAUCAAGAGGUUGAUCGGGCUUCCCGGCGACUGGAUCAGCGUCACGGAGAAGGAGGAGAUCCGCAAGAUUCUGGAGAGCCACUGCUGGGUCGACGGGGACAAUGGCAGCGCGAGCUGGGACUCUAGAUCCUACGGCCCUGACCUCCUGGUGGUUACCCGUGGCCGACAACAACCACGACCAAGAUACGAAAAAAUGAACAUCUCCCUGACUUGCUGAAGCUCGACAGCGGCCUUCCCGUAUCGAGGCUAUAUCAGAUGUUGGCCUUCAUUCCCAAAAGUUGGGUGUACAGGUGCUUUAGGAACAAGAAAACCCACUCCUACCAAUGCCGUUUAGCUCACUGGAAGAAGAAAACCCACUCCCACCAAUGCCGUUUAGCUCACUCGAGCUAGUUAUGUGUAUAUUUAGUUGUAUUUUAUAGCUGAAUACCAGAUUUGUAUGAUGUAUGAUUGUAAUGUACUUUUCUUGGUUGUUGUACGAAAUAUUAUGCCCUAUUGGCUCUUUUUGAAUCAAAUUAUCUAAUUGCAUAA